AAACCCUAUGGGAACACAUUUCAGCUUUACAAGUCAGUAGAUCACUCAACUCUGGACAAAGUAUUAGAGGUACAGCCAGAAAAAUUAGAGCUUAUUAUGGAUGAAAUGAAACAGAUUCUAACUUCAAUGACCCAAAAGGAAGCUGUGAUUAAGCACUUUUUGGUGCAUAAAGUAUUCUUGGUCUUUUUUACCUAUGUACCCCCCAAACUCAGAUCAGAAAUGAUAGAGGCCAUCUGUGAAGCGCUGGUAUACCUGGCACACACACACGAUGGCGCCAGAGUGGCCAUGAAGUGCCUGUCGCACAGUACCCCCAAAGACAGGAAAGUGAUUGUGAAAACAAUGAAGACUUAUGUUGAAAAGGUGGCUAAUGGCCAAUACUCCCAUUUGGUUUUACUGGCGGCAUUUGAUUGUAUUGAUGAUACUAAGCUUGUGAAGCAGAUAAUCAUAUCAGAAAUUAUUCGUUUGUUGCUUAACACAGUAAAUGAUAAAUAUGGAAGGAAGGUCCAAUUAUACUUACUAAGCCCCAGAGAUCCUGCACAUACAGUUCGAGAAAUCAUUGAAGUUAUGCAAAAAGGAGAUGGAAAUGCAAACAGAAAGAUAUAGAGGUCCACAGACGGGAGCUCCUAGAAUCCAUUUCUCCAGCUUUGUUAAGCUACCUGCAAGAACACCCCCAAGAGGUGGUGCUAGAUAGUGUGCGUGUGUGUUGAUGUCUGACAUUCUGGGAUCUGCCAUUGGAGAUUUUCAGCCUGCCAUGAAUGCCAUCGCCAGCUUGGCAGCAACAGAACUGCAUCCUGCUGGCAGGAUGGAGAGCUUCACACGGCAGAACAUCCUGCAGGACAUCUAGUUCUGAAGUGGCUAAUAGAACAAGAUAAAAAGAUGAAAGAAAAUGGGAGAGAAGGUUGUUUUGCAAAAACACUUGUAGAGCAUGUUGGUAUGAAGAACCAAAAGUCUUGGGCUAGCGUAAAUCAAGGUACCAUUAUUCUUUCCAGCCUCCUCCAGAGUUAUGACCCAGAAGUUGCAAAGUCAAAGCUGAACUGAAAAGCUUGAUUCCUACAUUGGAAAAAACCAAACACCAGCAAAGGAAUAGAAACUCUACUUGAAAAACUGAGCACAUAGGUGGAAAGAGUUAAGAGGAAGAUGGAAUCAUUUGUUCUGUUCUCUGUUCUGUUUCCCAAUGCAGAAAAGAAGGGCUAGGGUCCACCGUACUGGUAAUUGGGGUGCUCUGUAUAUGUGUUUCUUCAUUGUAUAUAAAUUUAUUUAUAUAAAUUGUUUUUAAAAAUGGUCUU